GACGAACGCUGGCGGCGUGCUUAACACAUGCAAGUCGAACGCUGAAGCCCUUUCGGGGGUGGAUGAGUGGCGAACGGGUGAGUAACACGUGGGUAAUCUGCCCUGCACUCUGGGAUAAGCCUUGGAAACGGGGUCUAAUACCGGAUAGGACACAUCGCCGCAUGGUGUGUGUGUGGAAAGUUCCGGCGGUGCAGGUUGAGCCCGCGGCCUAUCAGCUUGUUGGUGGGGUGAUGGCCUACCAAGGCGACGACGGGUAGCCGGCCUGAGAGGGUGACCGGCCACACUGGGACUGAGACACGGCCCAGACUCCUACGGGAGGCAGCAGUGGGGAAUCUUGCGCAAUGGGCGAAAGCCUGACGCAGCAACGCCGCGUGGGGGAUGACGGCCUUCGGGUUGUAAACCUCUUUCGACCGGGACGAAGGGUGACUGACGGUACCGGUCGAAGAAGCACCGGCUAACUACGUGCCAGCAGCCGCAGUAA
rnacentral:rRNA from 1 species